rnacentral:rRNA from 1 species
ACUGGGACUGAGACACGGCCCAAACUCCUACGGGAGGCAGCAGUGGGGAAUUUUCCGCAAUGGGCGCAAGCCUGACGGACCAAUACCGCGUGAGGGAGGAAGGCCUUUGGGUUGUAAACCUCUUUUUCUUAAGGAAGAAUAUCUGACGGCACUUAAGGAAUCAGCCUCGGCUAACUCCGUGCCAACCGCCGCGGUAAUACAGAAGAUGCACGCUUUAUCCAGAAUUAUUGGGCGUAAAGCGUCCGCACGCGGCUCUAUAACUCUGCUGUCAAAGACCGCAUCUCAACUGCGGAAAGGCAGUGGAAACUGUAGAGCUAGAGUACGGUAGGGGUAGAGGGAAUUCCCAGUGUAGCGGUGAAAUGCGUAGAGAUUGGGAAGAACACCAGUGGCGAAAGCGCUCUACUGGGCCGUAACUGACGCUCAGGGACGAAAGCUAGGGGAGCGAAAGGGAUUAGAUACCCCUGUAGUCCUAGCUGUAAACGAUGGAUACUAGGCGUAGCUUGUAUCGACCCGAGCUGUGCCGAAGCUAACGCGUUAAGUAUCCCGCCUGGGGAGUACGCACGCAAGUGUGAAACUCAAAGGAAUUGACGGGGGCCCGCACAAGCGGUGGAGUAUGUGGUUUAAUUCGAUGCAACGCGAAGAACCUUACCAGGGCUUGACAUGUCGCGAAUCUGAGGGAAACCUCACAGUGCCUUCGGGAGCGCGAACACAGGUGGUGCAUGGCUUGUCGCCAGCUCGUGUCGUGA